rnacentral:rRNA from 1 species
UACGUAGGGGGCGAGCGUUGUCCGGAUUCCUUGGGCGUAAAGCGCUUUAAGGCGGUUCGGUAAGUCGGGUGUGAAACCUCCAGGCUCAACCUGGAGACGCCACUCGAUACUGCUGUGACUAGAGUUCGGUAGGGGAUCACGGAAUUCCUGGUGUAGCGGUGAAAUGCGCAGAUAUCAGGAGGAACACCGGUGGCGAAGGCGGUGAUCUGGGCCGACACUGACGCUGUAGAGCGAAAGCGUGGGGAGCGAACAGG